CCUACGGGUGGCAGCAGUGAGGAAUAUUGGUCAAUGGACGAGAGUCUGAACCAGCCAAGUAGCGUGAAGGAUGACUGCCCUAUGGGUUGUAAACUUCUUUUAUAUGGGAAUAAAACGUUGCACGUGUGCCAUUUUGUAUGUACCUUAUGAAUAAGGAUCGGCUAACUCCGUGCCAGCAGCCGCGGUAAUACGGAGGAUCCGAGCGUUAUCCGGAUUUAUUGGGUUUAAAGGGAGCGUAGAUGGGAUGUUAAGUCAGUUGUGAAAGUUUGCGGCUCAACCGUAAAAUUGCAAUUGAUACUGGCAGUCUUGAGUACAGUUGAGGUAGGCGGAAUGCGUGGUGUAGCGGUGAAAUGCAUAGAUAUCACGAAGAACUCCGAUUGCGAAGGCAGCUUACUAAACUGCAACUGACACUGAUGCACGAAAGUGUGGGUAUCAAACAGGAUUAGAUACCCGAGUAGUC
rnacentral:rRNA from 1 species